UACGAAGGGGGCUAGCGUUGCUCGGAAUCACUGGGCGUAAAGCGCACGUAGGCGGAUUGCUAAGUCAGGGGUGAAAUCCCGGAGCUCAACUCCGGAACUGCCUUUGAUACUGGCGAUCUUGAGUCCGGGAGAGGUGAGUGGAAUUCCUAGUGUAGAGGUGAAAUUCGUAGAUAUUAGGAAGAACACCAGUGGCGAAGGCGGCUCACUGGACCGGUAUUGACGCUGAGGUGCGAAAGCGUGGGGAGCAAACAGG
rnacentral:rRNA from 1 species